AUACGUAGGGAGCUAGCGUUACCCGGAAUUACUGGGCGUAAAGGGCGCGUAGGCGGCUUGGUAAGUCUCUUGUGAAAGCUCCCGGCUUAACUGGGAGAGGUGAGGGGAAACUACUUGGCUUGAGGACAGCAGAGGAAAGCGGAAUUCCCGGUGUAGCGGUGAAAUGCGUAGAUAUCAGGAGGAACACCAGUGGCGAAGGCGGCUUUCUGGGCUGCACCUGACGCUGAGGCGCGAGAGCGUGGGGAGCAAACAGGAUUAGAAACCCUGGUAGUCC
rnacentral:rRNA from 1 species